rnacentral:rRNA from 1 species
GACGAACGCUGGCGGCGUGCCUAAUACAUGCCAGUAGAACGCACAGUUUAUACCGUAGCUUGCUACACCAUAAACUGUGAGUUGCGAACGGGUGAGUAACGCGUAGGUAACCUGCCUGGUAGCGGGGGAUAACUAUUGGAAACGAUAGCUAAUACCGCAUAAUAUUGAUUAUUGCAUGAUAAUUGAUUGAAAGAUGCUAUUGCAUCACUACCAGAUGGACCUGCGUUGUAUUAGCUAGUAGGUGAGGUAACGGCUCACCUAGGCGACGAUACAUAGCCGACCUGAGAGGGUGAUCGGCCACACUGGGACUGAGACACGGCCCAGACUCCUACGGGAGGCAGCAGUAGGGAAUCUUCGGCAAUGGACGAAAGUCUGACCGAGCAACGCCGCGUGAGUGAAGAAGGUUUUCGGAUCGUAAAGCUCUGUUGUAAGAGAAGAACGGGUGUGAGAGUGGAAAGUUCACACUGUGACGGUAUCUUACCAGAAAAGGACGGCUAACUACGUG